rnacentral:rRNA from 1 species
UACGUAGGGUGCAAGCGUUGUCCGGAAUUAUUGGGCGUAAAGAGCUCGUAGGCGGUUUGCUGCGUCCGCUGUGAAAACCCAAGGCUUAACCUUGGGCUUGCAGUGGAUACGGGCAGACUAGAGGUAGGUAGGGGAGAAUGGAAUUCCCGGUGUAGCGGUGAAAUGCGCAGAUAUCGGGAGGAACACCGGUGGCGAAGGCGGUUCUCUGGGCCUUACCUGACACUGAGGAGCGAAAGCGUGGGGAGCGAACAGG